UCGGGAAUUUUGGGCAAUGGGCGCAAGCCUGACCCAGCAACGCCGCGUGAAGGAUGAAAUCCCUCGGGAUGUAAACUUCGCAAGAAUGGGAAGAAUAAGAGAGCACGAACACUGCUUUCGAUGACGGUACCAUUUGUAAGCUCCGGCUAACUCCGUGCCAGCAGCCGCGGUAAUACGGGGGGAGCAAGCGUUGUUCGGAUUUACUGGGCGUAAAGGGCGCGUAGGCGGUCAGCGCAAGUCAGUUGUGAAAUCUCCGAGCUUAACUCGGAUCGGUCAACUGAUACUGCGCGACUAGAGUGCAGAAGGGGCAACUGGAAUUCUCGGUGUAGCGGUGAAAUGCGUAGAUAUCGAGAGGAACACCUGCGGCGAAGGCGGGUUGCUGGGCUGACACUGACGCUGAGGCGCGAAAGCUAGGGGAGCGAACGG
rnacentral:rRNA from 1 species